rnacentral:rRNA from 1 species
GUCAGGACGAACGCUGGCGGCGUGCCUAAUACAUGCAAGUCGAACGGUCUUUCUAUGGAAGCUUGCUUCCACUGAGAAGAUAGUGGCGAACGGGUGAGUAACACGUGGGUAACCUGCCCAUAAGAGGGGGGAUAACAUCCGGAAACGGGUGCUAAUACCGCAUAGUUUUCUUGAUCGCAUGAUCGGGAAAGGAAAGACGGCCUUUGUGCUGUCGCUUAUGGAUGGACCCGCGGCGUAUUAGUUAGUUGGUGAGGUAACGGCUCACCAAGACGAUGAUACGUAACCGACCUGAGAGGGUGAUCGGCCACAUUGGGACUGAGACACGGCCUAAACUCCUACGGGAGGCAGCAGUAGGGAAUCUUCCGCAAUGGACGAAAGUCUGACGGAGCAACGCCGCGUGAGUGAAAGAAGGUUUUCGGAUCGUAAAACUCUGUUGUCAGAGAAGAACAAGUUGGAGAGUAACUGCUCCAGCCUUGACGGUAUCUGACCAGAAAGCCACGGCUAACUACGUGCCAGCCGCGGC